CAUAGAUGGACUCACCACACAUGCUAGAAGGAGGGAAACACAGCUACUCCAAAUGUGAAAGCUCUACCAGGAGUGGGGGCUACAGAUCAACCUGGAUGGGGCAGUUAGUGUUGUGCCCAAGAUUGCGAAUCCGAGAAACCACCAAGGAGCCGACACCAAUGCAAACACACGAGGGUUUAUUUACAAGCUCGAGCUUGGGUCCAAGUGUACCCGACACAGCGGAGCAGGGACUUGGACCCCAAGGUGGGUUUCAGCUUAGUUUUUUAUAGGCUGGUCUAGGGGAUUUUCAGAAGGGGUAGAGGAAUUUCUCAAGUUCUGUUUACAUUUUGAUAUGGGGCUUUCA
rnacentral:lncRNA from 12 species